UCAGUCAGCGCAGCGUAAUAACAGAAGCUAACCAGGAUUCCCUUAGUAACGGCGAGUGAACUGGGAUACCAAUAUAUUUAUGCGUCUCUGGCGCAUAUUUUUAGCCCGUCGAUACUAUCCUAGCGUAUUACCGGUUUCGGCCGGUAGCCCAAUACGCGGGAAUUGUGGCAUCGUAAUAAAAUAUACACCAUGCCUGCGUCGCAAACGUAUAUACACGUAUACUCACACACACACACAUACUCUCGUACGCGUACACACCCCUUGCAAACACACAGCGCUCCCGCGUUGGAAAGCAAGUCUAUAUCCUCUUUGGAUAUGCCAUAGAGUGUGACAGCCACGUUUGAAACACCCUACGUACCGUACACACACAUACGUAAAAAUACGCGCUGCUUCGCAUACGCAUACCGUAUAUAACCUGAGUCGAGUUAUUUGGGACUAUAGCUCUAAUAGUUUGGUUGGUGGUAAUGACACAUCAAAGGCUAAAUAUUGGUUAGUCGAUGCAUUUUACGGAGACCGAUAGCAUACAAGUACCGUAAGGGAACGAUGAAAAGCACCCUAUUAAGUUCACGGUGUCGGCCGCGUACAAUUCGUUGAACAACGCCGCGCCCAACAACUACAGUGGGAGUGAAAGAGAGAGU
rnacentral:rRNA from 1 species